rnacentral:lncRNA from 1 species
UGCUGGGAUUACAGGCGUGAGCCACCGUGCCCAGCCAAGUUUAAUUUUUACACCAAUGAUUCAUUUCUGCUUUUACAGAUUUUGAGAGCCAAAAGAAAGGAACUGAAAGAAUCUUGAAGAAGAUUCUUCAAGAGAACUGAAAGAAACUGAAAGAACUGAAAGAAACUGAAAGAACUGAAAGAAACUUGAGGAAGAAUGAGAUUGCCUCAUCUGUGGCCUUGGGGAGAGGAGAGGAGGGAUUAGAGUUUACAGGAGAUUAGAGUUAUGGGGUGAUAAGCCCUCUGCUGGAGGGUGGAGAGAAAUGAGGUGGGUAUCAGGAACCUGGUGAGUUUCACUGGUGGCUGUCUUGAGGCAGCAAAUGGGAGCCAAGCUGAAGCUUAUAGAGAAUUCACCCAUCAAAGGUGGACCAUGUGCCAUGUGUGGAUUGUGCAGUGGGCCACCUGCCCACACACCAACACUGACAAGCUCUAUCAAAAUUGUCCAGUCUGUACAUUUCAAGAGUUCAGUGUACUUCUCUUCCUGUUUUCCCCCUCUUCUCUUCAAAUGCAAGGAAAGGGUAAUCUUAAGAUUCAGAAGAGUGAUUUGUUUUUCCCCAUGUAGUGAGCAAUUUUCUCGCCCCCAACUAAUAAACCAUCUAUUCUUUUCCCAUUAAGCAAUAUAUAUCACAUAAAAAUUUCAUUUAGAAAUGAGCCUGUCUCUGGCAGAUUCACCAUUUUAAUAAGAGGCCCUGAACUUUUCCAUGCUUUCCAUGAAAGCUAAAGUUCAUUAGCACAGAAGGAAAAGAAAGAGCUGUGAAACAUAUCCAUACUCUGUUAAUGACCUGAGGUGGGGUAGGCAACUGCAACUGCAAGACUCAUCAAUUGAACAUAUGUAGGUUUUUAGUAUCUAGUAGAUUACACAAAACACAUGCAGGACUUUGUAAAUUUGAAGGGAGAAGGUUGGAGAAUAUGGCAAAGGAGGAUCAUAUCCGUACUAGUCAGCUAGGAAAAACAAGCUGGGAAAAAAUGAGAACAGAGUAGAUGAAUUGCAUAGGAAUUUCUGAAAUAUUCUAAGAAUGCCAUGGAUUAAAUAGGAUUUUAUGAACUUGCCUGGGAAGCUAAUGAUCGUUUCUAUGAGAAAAUGUAUUUCACUUUUCAACUCAGGAUAUCUGGAACAUAUCUCUCUUUGUCACAGUUCCAGAAGAAUUCCCAGGAAUUUAGCUUUCCCUUUACUCUAAUCUCAGAAGGAGCUAUACCCUCUUUGAAGCUCCAUAGAGAGAAAUAGGAACAAACUUACCCAAAACACAUGGUGGGUAUGAGUGCUGAUUUUUAUCCCCAUGGAGAAAGGGAAUUUUACAGCAAUGAGCAUAGGGUCUCUGGUGAAAGGUCAUAUCCAUACAUAUCUUUAUAGAAAAAAAAAAAAGGCUUGGAA